GACGAACGCUGGCGGCGUGCCUAAUACAUGCAAGUCGAGCGCUGAAGGUUGGUACUUGUACCAACUGGAUGAGCAGCGAACGGGUGAGUAACGCGUGGGGAAUCUGCCUUUGAGCGGGGGACAACAUUUGGAAACGAAUGCUAAUACCGCAUAAUAUCUUUAAACACAAGGUUUAAGUUUGAAAGAUGCAAUUGCAUCACUCAAUGAUGAUCCCGCGUUGUAUUUGCCAGUUGGUGAGGUAAAGGCCCACCAAGGCGAAGAUUCAUUACCGGACCUAGAGGGGGGUCCGCCACAAUGGGACCUAGGCACGGCCCCAACUCCUUCCGGGAGCAGCAGUAAGGAAACUUCGGGAAAGGGGGGAAGUCUGGCCGGGCAAAGGCGGCGGGGUGAAGGAGGUUUUCGGAUCGGUAAACUCUGUUUGUAGGGGAGAACGAAGGUGGGAAGGAAAAACGCAUGAAGUGACGGUAACUACCCAGAAAGGGACGGCUAACUACGUG
rnacentral:rRNA from 1 species